AGAGAGAGACUGAAGAUGCAGUGCUGCUGGUUUUUAAGAUGAAGGAAGGAACCAAGAGGCAAGGAAUACAGGCAACUUCGAGAAGCUGGAAAAGAUCCCGCUUUCUAAUUGCAUGGUUGGCCAUUCUCCCAUUAUCUCCUACCUGGACCUCUCCUCAUGGGUCGCCCUCACCAUGGUGAAUUCAAUUCAAGAGGAAGAAAGUGGCCAGGCAUUGUUCGAACAACAAUAGCUUCUCUAGUUCUAUAAUCAAAUAUGUACGUUUGUUAACAAUUAUCUAUGGCCAAAUCGCUCUGAAAAAAAAAAUCGGUGAGGAUCAGAAUCACUGGGACUUUGGUUAUAAUUGUGUUUGCAUUAUUACAGCCUCAUUAUAUUUCACCGUUGAGUUUACCCCAUGGUUUCUCUGUUGGACUCCCACGCAGGGUGGUUUACAAUUGUGUGUCUAAAAAGACACGCCUAAGCCUUGAAACAUUUAAAUGUUACAAAAAUCAAUUCUACCUAUGUGAUUCCCAGCUGAACACCACUUCUGAUGUGCAUCGGCUUCAAAAGAAAUUAAAAGAUAAGUAACAUGAUUACAAUCAGAUUAGCUUGUCUAGGCAGACAAACAAGAUUGCAGAGCUGUCUGAAUGAAGAUACUCACUUCCUAGUGAGACCAGUUUACAUCACAUUAAACAAAAAUGAGUUUCCAAUAUGUGUACUAUGUAACAGAGUGGGUAAAUGAAAAAUGCAUCUUUGUGACUGAAUAUGAGUCAAGGGAACUGUUAUUUUGUGACUAUGCUAGUAUUUACUGCCUGUCAGAACACUUUAUGAGGUAUCAGAAAAAAACCAAAUCACUCUCUGAGAUUUUUCGCUCAAAUUAAAAGUAUU
rnacentral:lncRNA from 1 species